AUUGAACGCUGGCGGCAGGCCUAACACAUGCAAGUCGAGCGAGCGGCGGACGGGUGAGUAAUGUAUGGGGAUCUGCGCGAUCGAGGGGGAUAACUUGUGGAAACUGUGUCUAAUACCGCAUACUAUCAGAUGAACCCAUAUGGGAGUAGCUAGUAGGUGGGGUAAAGGCUCACCUAGGCGACGAUCUCUCGCUGGUCUGAGAGGAUGAUCAGCCACACUGGAACUGAGACACGGCCCAGACUCCUACGGGAGGCAGCAGUGGGGAAUAUUGCACAAUGGGCGCAAGCCUGAUGCAGCCAUGCCGCGUGUAUGAAGAAGGCCUUAGGGUUGUAAAGUACUUUCAGCGGGGAGGCGUUACCCGCAGAAGAAGCACCGGCUAACUCCGUGCCAGCAGCCGCGGUAAUUC
rnacentral:rRNA from 1 species